GACGAACCGUGCGAACGUUGUUCGGAAUCACUGGGCUUAAAGGGUGCGUAGGCGGGCAUGUAAGUCCGUGGUGAAAUCUCCGAGCUUAACUCGGAAACUGCCACGGAUACUAUGUGUCUUGAAUGUUGUGGAGGUGAGCGGAAUAUGUCAUGUAGCGGUGAAAUGCUUAGAUAUGACAUAGAACACCAAUUGCGAAGGCAGCUCACUACACAAAUAUUGACGCUGAGGCACGAAAGCGUGGGGAUCAAACAGG
rnacentral:rRNA from 1 species